AAAGCAUUUUAAACAUUGUGACUCAAAUUCUAUAUUUGUCUAGGGCACUUAACAGACUGUGUAAGUUCCUGGGUUCAUCUGAAUAUUUGAUAAGGUGUUCUAGAUAUAUCCGAUACUUCUAAAAAAUCACAAAGAUUGGGGGAUUUAUUUUAUUGUCUACGCAGCUAUCAAAGAAGCUAGAUGAUGACGAGAUGUUUUUGGAAGGGGGACGAAGGUAGGAGGACUUUCCUGGUGUGUAAUAGCCAACC